UUGGAGGGCAAGUCUGGUGCCAGCAGCCGCGGUAAUUCCAGCUCCAAUAGCGUAUAUUAAAGUUGUUGCAGUUAAAAAGCUCGUAGUUGAAUUUCGGGAUUGACACAUCGGUCGUGCCUUAAGGGGCAUGAACUGGUGUAGUCAAUUUCUCACCUUCUGGAGAACCGCGAUGCCCUUAAUUGGGUGUCGCGGGGAACCAGGACCUUUACUUUGAAAAAAUUAGAGUGUUUAAAGCAGGCAUUUUGCUUUAAUACAUUAGCAUGGAAUAAUAAAAUAGGACGGCAUGACUCUAUUUUGUUGGUUUCUAGGAUCACCGUAAUGAUUAAUAGGGAUAGUUGGGGGCAUUAGUAUUCAAUUGUCAGAGGUGAAAUUCUUGGAUUUAUUGAAGACUAACUACUGCGAAAGCAUUUGCCAAGGAUGUUUUCAUUAAUCAAGAACGAAAGUUAGGGAAUCGAAGACGAUCAGAUACCGUCGUAGUCUUAACCAUAAACUAUGCCGACUAGGAAUCAGACGAUGUUAAUUUUUUAAUGACUCGUUUGGCACCUUACGGGAAACCAAAGUGUUUGGGUUC
rnacentral:rRNA from 1 species